rnacentral:lncRNA from 1 species
UCUGUUAUAAUUUCAUGCUUAAAUAACACUAAAUAAUGUUCCCUGUUUGCACAGCGUAAUUGGAAGAGGCGAAUAAACCAAACAAACCAGCUAUGACUGAGCUUCCCUAGUAUUUUCAAACUGAAACAAACAGUAAAAAACAAGGGCUUGGCCAAGUUAACACUUCGGGGGUAUUUUCUAGCUCGCAUUCCACUUUUUCAUUUUCACAGGCCAAGAAAUGCAAGAGCUUUGAAGAGCUAGUGGCUUUUUGCCAAAGAAAGCUCAGUUGGUCUUCGACUGAAAAAAAAAGAAAAAAUUAAAAGUGAACUUAUUGUAUGUGUUUUGUUUUUUUUUAGGAACUGGCAGGGCUAAUGACUCCAGAAGUGCCGUGGGAUUUUAUUUCACCUUGUGGAAAGGAACACGUUCUGAUGGGGCACAAACUUAGGAAGAUCCUGCCUGGGAUUAACUCUGCUGAGGCCACUGGAGUGCAGCACGGAGCGGGCAGGUCCACGGGUCCGUGGGCGCUAAUGAUGCUGCACCAGCACCUGCGGGGGAAGCUGGGAGGGCUGAGAAGGGGCAAAGCAAAAAGCUGCUCCUCAGCUUCCAAAUGAUGCUCCCAAGAGGAGAAUUGCUUCAGAAGGAGCUCCUCACAGAACAGACACUUCAGAGCAGCAAGUGCUGGUGUGUCUGGGAAGGCGGCGAGGAGGGGGCUGGCCGCAGGAGACCACCUACCCACCCUCAAACCAAGUGAGCUGCUGCUGGAGGACAUGGCUUGGGUGGACCUCGGUGGCCAGAAAUAACUCCUGCGUCUCCAGGAGGCCACAGAUGGAUAGAAAGGGUAUGUGAGGCUCUUAGGACGACAUGGGAAGUCCUUUCCGAUGUUUUCCUCUGGGUUUUUCUCCUCUUUUGCAUGAAGCGUUUCCUUCGUGAUGGUUGGAGCUCCCCCUCGUUUGGAUCUUUUGGUUUUCCAGGUCCCGUCUGCGUGGCUCGUUCUCUGCCUGGAUCUGAGGAGGAAGGCUGUCCGUAUUUCAGACAGGCUGAAGUUCGGGAGUUCAGAGUCAGCAGUGGUCAAGAAAUGAGCCAGGGCCCCAGCGGCCUCAUUCUCUCCUCUAAUGGAUGAAUUUUCUGCUGGAAAACAGGGAGGUAGAUUAGGGAAGGCUGUUGCAGUAGUGGCAGAGUGGCUUGGGCUGCUGUAGGCUGCUCGUUAGGCAGCAAGGUGUUCUCCGGCUCCGGGUCAGCUCCGAGCUGCUCAGUCGGACUGGGUCUGAUGGCAAAGUUCACAGAGGAUGGGUGGAUGUUGUGUGCUGCUGAAACUCUGACUGAGAGAAAGGGCAGCCAGAUCAGCAGCAGCACAGCAAACAGAAUGAUGUGAUGGGCCCGUUCCCAGCCUUCUGCGUUCCCCACAAAAUUCAUAGUGUCAGGCCCUCCCUGCCCAGUUCUUUGGGUUGGGAAUAACACAGGAGACCUGAUGGGAGACCAGUAACAGCCCCAGCCACUGGCUUAGGAAAAGAAAUUUGGGAGGAUGAUGAAAGACGAGAAGAGGGUGGGAAAGCUGUGGGUUUUCUGUGUUUGGUAUAGGUCUCCUUGGGGCCCCUUGGAUCUGACAUUUCUUGUUUGCAGGCUGUGUCCUCGUGGCAUUGCAACGUGUGCUUG